rnacentral:rRNA from 1 species
UACGAAGGGGGGCUAGCGUUGCUCGGAAUCACUGGGCGUAAAGCGCACGUAGGCGGAUCUUUAAGUCAGGGGUGAAAUCCCGGAGCUCAACUCCGGAACUGCCUUUGAUACUGAGGGUCUCGAGUUCGGGAGAGGUGAGUGGAACUGCGAGUGUAGAGGUGAAAUUCGUAGAUAUUCGCAAGAACACCAGUGGCGAAGGCGGCUCACUGGCCCGAUACUGACGCUGAGGUGCGAAAGCGUGGGGAGCAAACAGGG